rnacentral:lncRNA from 1 species
UGCUGGGUGCAGGCUGGGCAACCAAAGGGGCACAGCCCCCAGGGCAGCCCAGGAGGGCUCCAGGCCCUGCCGUGGACUGGCCAAGGUGGAAUUGCUGGGUGGGGGCUGGGAGUCAGUAGGUGUCCAUGUGCUCCCUGCUGGUCCAGGUUUUGCACUCCUGUCGGGAAUCACUGAGGCCUGAGAACCAGCGGGGCCAGACCCACCAGGCCCAUACAGGACGCUCCGCCCCUGCCCAGGCAGUGCCAGACUGGAAGUCCUGCUAUGGAGGCUGUGGACCUAUAGUCUGCCCCUCCCUGGGAAGGCAUUUCUCCUGGUCUGGCAUCUGUCCUGACUCCACCCGCCCUUCUUGGGGUCCAAGGCAGCAGGUGAUGUGGGUGACAGGUCAGGCAGCCCAGCCAGGAACGAGGCAGGCUGUCCAUGCCUCCAUCCUGCGCCCCUGGGGCCCAGGCUCUUUAAAGCAUCGUCCUAGAGGCUGGAGGGCUGUGCCAGGCUCGAGAGGGCAGAGGGCAGAGGCUCACAGCAGGUAGCUGCGUGCCCACUGGCUCCCUCCAGCAGAGGGGUGGGGGGUGGGGGGCCAGGUGUUCCUCUCACCCUGCACGGAGCGAGGGUGGGUGCUGAGCUCGCCUGGAGGUGUCAGCAGAGCCGUCCCGCAGUGGGUGCUGGUGCUGGGAUUUCCCUGGCUGAGUCACCCUGGCCUGGCUGUGCUCAGAGAGGCGGGAGGUAUCUGUGAAGGUGUCAGGGUGGUGACAGC